rnacentral:lncRNA from 10 species
CAGUGUGAACAGAAUGGGCUCAAAAAUGUAAUCUUGAGAAGAGACAAAGAAAAAGCUACAUGAGAGGGAAGAUUAAAGUCAGGUGAUGUUGAUGUCAGGGAAAUCCGGACAGGAGGGCAGAGUCUACAGCAUCUAACACUGUUGACUGACAGAGCAUGGAAAGACUGAAUGUGUCAUGCACUGUGCAAUAGAGACAAAUUGUCAUCGUGGUGAAAGCAGGUUCUAUGGAGUGGUCGGGAACCGAAGCUUCUUCUCCUUGAGGAAAUCACCAUUCAGGAUACAGAAUGGGCAUGUAACCAUGGCAGGAGCCAAGGGUGCGCAUAUGAGCCAAGCAAGGUCAGACAAAGUCUUUUUUUAGUAAUUUCAAAGAGAAAAUAAAGAAGCAUUUUCUACUGUGGUUGUUAAACUAGGAGGAUGGAAGUCUGGAACUGCAAACAGCCAUCUUGCCUGCCAAGUGGACUUCAUGCAGAAUGGAUUCAACUAGAAAAUUUCAUUGCUGAAGUGUGCGUUCCUCAGCUUCCCUGGAAUAUUUGGCAGUAUAUUUCCUUUGAACUUAAGCCAGUUUGAACUGGCUUUCUGUCACUGGCAAUUCAAAGUGUCUUACAGAAUACAGACUUCAAAGACUUCAUAGUGUAAUACAAAAAUACAGCUGGAAUGGUAAAAUUGUCCUGAGGUGACCAAGCUAAACUAUACAGGUAUUUCCACUUGUGAUUAAUAGGAAUAAUUUUUUUUGCAAUAUAUCAUUCCAAUAAA